UACGUAGGGGGCAAGCGUUGUCCGGAAUCAUUGGGCGUAAAGAGCGCGUAGGCGGCCCAGUAAGUCCGCUCUGAAAGUCAGGGGCUCAACCCCUGGAUGCGGGUGGAUACUGCUGGGCUAGAGUCCGGAAGAGGUGAGUGGAAUUCCUGGUGUAGCGGUGAAAUGCGCAGAUAUCAGGAGGAACACCGGUGGCGAAGGCGGAUCUCUGGGCCUUACCUGACGCUCAGGCGCGAAAGCUAGGGGAGCGAACUGG
rnacentral:rRNA from 1 species